rnacentral:lncRNA from 1 species
AGUAGUAGUUCUGGCCUCCUUUCACUCGGCUGGUCUCUUGCCUUUCAGGAUUAUGCUGUUGCCUGAGGUCAAUCACAAAUGGAAAACAUUUUAAAAUCGUGAAAUUUUCUGCAGAAUGGAAAACUCAGUUCCCACCUAUUUGGAUUGUUUAAGUGCUUAGUAUGAGAUUAACACAUAUCCUCAUAUAAUUCUCUAGCAAGCAAUAAAUCCUGCACAGACUGAGAGGACUUUUCUCACCAAAAAGCUGUCUGCAUAAGAGGGGAUGUUGUCUUCUCUGUGAAUAUUCAAACUCUGGCUGUUCCAAAACUGAUCCCUGAAUGUUUGACAACUCUCAUCAGCAGUUUCUUUUUGGUCAAAGAAUUGAUUGCUCUUACAGUUGAAAGCCAUCACCUCAUCAGAAAACAAGGAAAAAUAUCAUGACAUUUCGAUGGAUGAUUAAACUCCUGGGAUAAUGAGAACGUGAAACAAACUUUCUUGAUAGCUCACAAAUCCAAGCAUUAUUAAUGCAAAUAAUUUCUAGCAACAAGCCUGUUGAUAGAAACUGGGCCCAGUUUGAAAACAAUUACUUUGAAGAGGGACAGCAGUAGGAAUUAGUAUUGUACACAACAGUCAGCCUGCCAAACUUUUCUUAAAUUCUUUUUUUUAUACAACAAUGGAACUUUAUACAAGCAUGGAAAUAGGCAGCUGCAUUUUACAUUUACACAACAUGGUUACAAGAUAACGGUUUAUGUAUGCUAGGUAAUCUCUACCCCCAUUCAAGAAAAAGUAAAAGGUGAGUUUGUACAAACUAACACAUUCCAGUGAAACCCUCAAAAGGGCAGUGGUGUGCUCUCUCCCUUUGUGGCUUGUCUUUGUGCUGUCGCCACUGCCCUUCUCUCCUCCACUGUCAUUCAGUACUGGGGAUAAGGACACUAGGUAUUCCUGUGACGGUUCCCAGCUGUGAACUGAGCCCUGCCACCCUUUUGCCAUAUCCCUAAAACAUUCCAACCAUCCAAGGAGGAAGCAACUUGGGUCACCUUCGUUCAGACUUUCAAAGCCCCAGGCCUACAAGCGCUACUCCAAAAUCCACAUUAACUCCUGCCCAGUGACUGACCUGACUUCUAAAUAGAUUGAAUUGCCCAGGGGCUCCGUCCAAAACCAAAAAAAUGACCUGGAGAGGACUUGGCACUUGCCAAACAUCAGGGCCUGAUAGUGAACUAAAGAGCCUAUGCUUUU